GUGGGGAAUAUUGGACAAUGGGCGCAAGCCUGAUCCAGCCAUGCCGCGUGAGUGAUGAAGGCCCUAGGGUUGUAAAGCUCUUUCAGUGGGGACGAUAAUGACGGUACCCACAGAAGAAGCCCCGGCUAACUUCGUGCCAGCAGCCGCGGUAAUACGAAGGGGGCUAGCGUUGUUCGGAUUUACUGGGCGUAAAGCGCACGUAGGCGGAUCGUUAAGUCGAGGGUGAAAUCCUGGAGCUCAACUCCAGAACUGCCUUCGAUACUGGCGAUCUUGAGUCCGGAAGAGGUGAGUGGAACUCCUAGUGUAGAGGUGGAAUUCGUAGAUAUUAGGAAGAACACCAGUGGCGAAGGCGGCUCACUGGUCCGGUACUGACGCUGAGGUGCGAAAGCGUGGGGAGCAAACAGGAUUAGAUACCCUUGUAGUCC
rnacentral:rRNA from 1 species